UCAUAAAAAUAAUUCUGACUUAUCCUCCAGUUUUCAUAAUUUUCUGACACUGUGCAUUUUCUGCUAAUUUAUCUGCCCCGUUUCAUACAGAAAAUUCUAAAUAUUCUGUUUUCGCUCCGAUUUCAGCACAGGUCAUUUCCAACUUAUAUUUCACUUCUCUAAAUCCAAUAAAAAUAGUAUCUCAUACUAUUUUUAUUUAUUUCUUUAUUUUUAUAUUUAAAUCCGGUAUAUUACAUUACACCGCAACCUUACCGGAACCAUUCAAAUGGCUCUCCAACCAAAUGGACACUGUAACCUCAUGAUUUUUGAAGUCCGGUACCUUACAUCCUCCCCUCCUUAAAAAGAGUUUCGUCCGCGAAACUCAAACCACGCCUCAAUUCGGCUCCUUGAGCAAUUUAGGGCGCUAAUGCACUUUUCUAGUUCGGAAUGGCUUUACCGUCUUUGCAACUAUCCAAGAGGCCCAACACGGAGGGUACAAUACUCAACUCGUACAACUUUGCAAGGCGCAUCUCGCAAGGUGCAUUACGUUCUCCGUUAUUCUUGGUAGCAGCGCAAGUCGAGGCUCAACGGCUCUACGCGCUCCAACGCCAUUCGCUAACUGGCCCACUAAGGCCAAACCACCUCCCUCGAGACCGGGACUACCCGCUAUCCUCAUGGUGUGGAGCUAUCAAGAACGCACUAAUAGUCAUAUGGUCCACCACCACGACACAGCACACACGGGUAAGCCCUCUCGAAUCACCCGAAUGUCAACAAAGUGGCGCUCCGCCACUUUGGCUAUCCAAGAGUUCGUAUUUCUCAUUCACGACUCUUCAUCACUUUCACUAUCCCUCUAGGGGUCACACUCCAAUUCGAUCGCCAUUAUCGCCUAGAAGCAAUAUCAUUGGUGCAUCGACCCACCGCGAGUGCUCCAAUCUUCAACCAGACCCUUGCUCUACCGCGGGAUGGCACACUUCGGCACAUCUCCAACUCAGCCCUUAAAAGAGCAUUAUCCUCAAGCUCUAAUUCACUUAGGGGCAUCAACUUCAAUCCUCUACCUCUCGUGGCUUCCAAUAGCUCAAUGUCUCACGCGAGCAGUAUAUCCUCGAAUACCGUAUGCCACGAUCAUCGCCAACUCGUUCGUGCAACGAAUCUACAUGAACAUUCGUUCGUCAUUCUAGGCCACGCCCAUCACUGAGGCUACUCGCUCAACCACUUUUAUCAAAUCCAUACGGUGUCGGAACAGAUCUGCGCAUGUAGCAUCUUGGGGACAUUAGUUCCUGCAACGCAACAACCGGGUUAAUUAACUUAACCUACUAACUCGCUCGCGAUCACAACUACGCGACUCAAAGUCGCAAACUAGGCUGAAGCACAUAAGUGUACUGAUUCUAGACUCUCGGCGUCGUGUUGUCGACCGCCCAACACUACCACUUCGAGCCAAGAACUCAUACCACUUGAAUCCAUCUCUAGCCACGACUAGAGACAUACAAUCACUUCAACCAAAUCGAUCAACUCCCGCCACCGUAUAGGGCCACGUUCUACUCACGCACCUAUAACCUUACGGUUUCCUAACCUAAGGUCCUCUAGGUCAAUCCUAGACUCUCUCUCUUUACUUGCUCUUAACUUGCUCUGAUACCAUAACUGUCACGCCCCGCCCCGAGACCGCUACCAAUUUGGUCCGGUUCGGGCGCGCCGGACGGAUGCCGAACGGACAGCACCUCCCCUGUCCGCCCAAGGCUCAACACAGGAUCAUGUACAAAGAAUUUGCCCAGGGAUAAUUCAAUACAUACACGAUCCAACAAGGAGAGAAGCACAAAGAGUGCAAUACAACAAGAGCAAGUAACACAAGUAUACAUAGAAGUGCAUAAAGAGAGAUACAUCUAGCUAUUACAUCACAUUCCACUUUUACAUCUUUGAUUACAUUUAAGCUUCCAAAAUGAAUACAUAAUCAUCUCACAUAUAUCUAGUACAAUGUACUCUCCAAAAUACAACCACGUCACCUAUGUACACGAGGGUACUCUAGUACAAAAGGAAAGCCACAACUAGCUAGCUAGGGCGCUACCCCCUUACCGCGAUCCCCUGCCGGUCCGCUCUCGUGUGUACCUGUACCCCAAAACCACACGGGGUGAGAACUAUAUAAAUAUAGUUCCCAGUGGGUUCGGCCGCCGACUCCGCCGAUCUUCCCACUAGGUCUAAGCUGGCACAAAUAGAUAGAUAGAGAGAUAGAUAGAUAUUGAACUGCAACUAUGAUCUAUUGUGCCAUCAAAUGCAAGCAAUGCAUGAAAUACCAUCUAGCAACAAGCCUACUAUCAUGCUAGUAUACUUCAACAAUGUAAUGAAUACGAAUACAACAUAGUUAUGCAAUCCACUAACAUAUACUAUGUCUAAUCAGGGUAUGAAUGCAAAUCCACUUAUGCUAUUCAUGUCAUUACCCAAUCCACUAGGCUACCCUGCCUAAGAUAUCAAAUCUCAUAGGUACUCACACCACAAAUCUAGUAGGUGAAGAGGUGAAGAGCUACCCCGCUCUUCGCCCCGACUGAUAUCUCAAAUCUCAUAGGUGAGGAGCUACCCCGCUCUUAUCUCACCCGUCUCACAUCUCAAAGGUAAUAAAUGAAGAGCUACCCCGCUCUAAUCUCAUAGAUAUUGAGCUACCCCGCUCAAUCUCAUAGGGGAAAGGCUACCCCGCCCUUCGCCCCAACUCACGUCCCAGUCCAAUGAGUGAGGAGCUACCCCGCUCGUAUCCCACCCGAUGAGCUACCCCGCUCAUGAGCUACCCCGCUCGUGUGACAACUCCGGCAAUGGGUGAGGAGCUACCCCGCUCGUAUCCCACCCAGUGAGCUACCCCGCUCGUGAGCUACCCAGCUCGUGUGACAACUCCAGAGUGUACUGCUUGUGUGGAGCGACCACCACAAGCUCAAAACAGACUUGUGAGUAUGAUCCAAUCCUCGCCAACUGAGGAUACCCUGUCAACUAGGUUAACAAACACUCGAAAUCCACCUAUCCCUAGGUCCAUGUCAAGUGUCUCAACCACACUAAUCAACUCACACUAGGGAAUUGAACUAUCCCUAUGUUUGAUGCCAUAGUGUCUCAAGUACACUAAUUUUCAUGCAAUAUGCCAUGACUAGGCAAACUCACCUAUUCCCUAUGCUCAAUGCCACAAGUGUUUUUAUUACACUAAGUUCCAAUGCCACUAGUCAUGUUGUUAACUAACAUUGUUUACAUGCCACUCGUCUAAGUCAUAGUGUUUUCUAUACACUAGUUCGCAUGUCACUAGUUUUCAUCAUCAAGUCCGAGUUCACCGUUUUCUUAUCACUAUAGGAUCUCAUGUCACAAACCCUAAUCCUCAUGCAUUCUAGAUUUAAGUGUCAAGUCCAUAAUGCUACACAACUAGACAUGCAUGCAAGGAAAUAGAAAUGCAACUAUACAUACAUCCUAUAAUGCAUAAGAACCAUAUGUGCAAUAUGACCAAAAAUCUAACUCGGACAUAGAAGGAAGCCCGAUUGCUUCGGAUGGACACCCCCCACUUUUUAUCGCUAUCACGAGGCUAGGGUUCCGAUUUCGUGAUUUUUGGAAGCUUUCGCCGCGAGCUGCGGCAAUCUGUACCUUAACGGCUUCGUUCUUCAAUAUCUUCACGUAGCCUCGCCGUAUCGCCGAACCGACUUCGCCAACGCGUCAGAAUACCUAGCAAUUAGGUUUAUACAUGAUCAAUUUAGAUCAAAACCCCUCACAAGCAAAACCCCUCUUUUGAUGCCCUAAGAUGCAACUAUGCAAGAAUUCAUCAUUUGAUCUCUAAAUUCGAGCAUCAACCAUCUAUUUAGCAUCUAGGAGUUUCACUAAACCCAUUUCUAAGGCAUACAAAUCGCUACUUAGCAAGCUACCAUUGUUGCUAUCAAAGCUUACGUCUCAAACCCAAGCUUUCUUCAAGCCAAUGGUGAAGAAAAAGAAGGCUUCGCCUCUAAGCAAGCUUUUUCUUCUCCAAAUCCACCUCCAAUUCUCUUUGGUGGAGAAGUUGCUAGAGAGAGAGAGAGAGAUCUUUCUCUUUGGUUGUAAGUGUGAGGGAAGGAGAGAAAAGGCUCAAUCCUUCAUAUAUAUAUAUAUAUGCAUAUAGGAAACUUGACCUCCAAGUUUAUCCAAGAGUACUAUUCACAUUCAGGCAGCUCGAAAUCUGAUAUCUUUCGCCGGAGCCCUCUGAGUAUCCGUUUGAGCUCAAAUUUAACAGUCAUGUUCGGUUUAACGUACUGAACAAGAAUAUAUCUUAAGUUUUCAGUUUCGACCUCGUUUGGUCACUGAAAGCUACACCGAACUGUAAUCUUUAUCAGAUCGCUGUCGGAUUUUAUUUCUCACUCUACGGGUGUCAGAAAAAUAUGAAACCUUAAAUCUAGCCUCAUAAAAAUAUUUUUGACUUAUCCUCCAAUUUUCAUAAUUUUCUUAGACUGUGCAUUUUCUGCUAAUUUAUCUGUCCCGUUUCUCACAGAAAAUCCUAAAUCUUCUGUUUUCGCUCCGAUUUCAGCACAGGUCAUUCCCAACCUAUAUUUCACUUCUCUAAAUCUAAUAAAAAUAGUAUUUCAUACUAUUUUUAUUUAUUUUUAUUUUUAUAUCUAAAUCCGGUAUAUUACAUUACACUGCAACCUCACCGGAACCAUUUAAAUGUACACCGUAACUUCAUAUUUUUAGAAGUCCGGUACCUUACAACAGAAGUUCGGUACCUUACAAUGACUCUUUCUCUCAUUCUCUCCCUCACAUUACACUAAAAGGCUCUCUCUCUCUCUAGGAUCUCUCUCUCUCUCUCUCUCCCUCAAGAGGUGGAGCUAGGAGGAGGAUUUGGUGGGGAAGAAAGCCAAGGAGUGAAGCUACUCCUUCAUCUUCUCCAUUAGCUUGAGGAAAGGAAAGCUUUAGAGGUAAGCUUUGAGCUCUCUCAUGGUAGAGGACUAGAAUGAGAACCAAAUGGCCUAUAAAUGGUUUUGAUAGGAUCUCUAGAUGUAAAUAAGCUUACUUUUGCUUAUCUUAGAGAUCAAAACAAGAGUAGGGCUAUAUGUGAAAGUUAGAGCACCCAAAUUUAGGGCUUUUGUCAUGGUUGGUUCUAAAGGCAAAUUAACCUUAUACAAACUUAAUUGGGGGUAUUUCCGACGCGUUGGUGCGCUCGGUUCGGUGAUCCGACGAGUGUACGCAAAGAAAUUGACGAAAAUGUCGAUUUAGGUACAGAUUGCCGCAGUAUGCGAAAUAGGCAGCCAAAAAUCGUGAAACUUGAACCCUUGCACCUAAGUAACCAUACGAGGUGGGUGGUGCUCUUCAAACUCAUUGAAUUUUCUUUUAUGUCUAAAGUGUCGCUUAUUGAGCAUAUGUAUAUGAUGAGUUUCAUGCAUUGUAGGGUGAUUGAGAUUGCGUUUACAUGAGUUAUUGCAUGUUGUGAGUACAAAUGCAUUAUGAGAUAGUUGAGAACCUUUGAACCCUAUGCAUGCAUGAUUGGUGAUAAAAGAAGCUAAAUGAGGUAAAGAACCUUGUGACACUAUGACAUGUGAAUCGAGUGGCAUUAGUAAAUAUAAUAAAUGCUAGAGUUGAACUCAUAGUUGAGUGGCAUUAAAGACUAAAGAAUUGCUAGUGUACAAGUGUGGCACUAAUGAAUAUAUAUUGAAUGCUAGAGCAUGAAACACUAGAGUUAGUGUGUGGCAUUGUUGAGUAUUGAAUGUUAGAGACUGAGUAUAAGAACAUGUAGUGUAAAUGACACUAAUGGUAUUAGACGAUGCAAGUAUAUGAGCAAGUUGAUAUUAUGACAUAACAACCUUAUAGUUAAGGGUCAUAUGAGCAUUGCAACCUUAUAGUUAAAGGUCAUAUGAGCAUUGCAACCUUAUAGUUAAGGUUUGAUUGAACUUGGAAAUCCUUAUAGUUAAGGAUUUGAUCAUACUCACCUAUACGUCUUGGCUUAAGGGUGGUCGCGCCCCCUCGAGCGAUGAGCUCCGGAGUAGUCAUCACUGGGUCGUAGUAGUCUCCCCAGAGGACGGUCUCGUCGGGUCAUAGUAGUCUCCCCAAUACUUGGGAUUAUGAGUUGGUGAGUUGUGGGCAAACCUACGGGUUAGCCAAGAGAUUGGGUAAGUGAAUUGGGAUCUUGCAUUCAUCAUGAGUAAUUUAUUUGAGCAUCAUUAUUGAUUAUAUAUUGUUCAGGCAUAUUAGCUGCAUUGUAUAGCUUUGUUAUUAUCUACCUGUUUUCUUCUAUUAUGCCUGAUUUAGACCUGGUGGGAAAGUCGGCGAGGUUGGUGGUCGAACCCACUGGGAACUUUGUUGUAGUUCUCACCCCACAAUUUCCACAGAGCCGGGACCGAGUGAGCCGGCGGACGAUCGCGGUAAGGGUAUCGCACCGUAGACAGUGACCGCCUGAGUCGGUUUUAUUAUUUGCAUAGUCGCAUACCCUUAUGACUAGGGGUGGCAAUCCAGCUCGCUGUUUGCGAGCCAUCUCGUGUUCGGCUCGAAAUGAGCUCGAGAUCGGUUCACUCGUUUAGUAAAUGUGCCGAACACGAGCUGGAUUUUUCAGCUCGUUUAAUAAACGAUCCGAACACGAGCUAGGGUCAGCUCGCUCGUGUUCGGCUUGAUAACAGCUCGAUUAUAUUUAUUUUAUAUUAAUAUAUUUUUAUAUGUUAUAUAUAUAUAAUUAUAUUUGUAUAUGAAUAUAUAAUACUAAUUAUUAGUUUUAAAUUUUUAGCCCAAUUUUACAAAAAAGCUCAGCUUAUUUAUUUAUAAAAGAGGCCCAUAGGCCCAUUUAUAUUUAAAAUUUUAACCGUUGGAUUAAAAUCUAAUGGUUAAUAUUGCAUCAACCUUUUAAGUCCUUCUAUGAUUCUAUACCUAUUUCCUAACCCUAGUUUUCUUUUCACACAUGUUUUCACACUUCACACAGCCAUGGGCGGCGGCGGCGAUCACCACGGAGGCGGAGGCCACGGCCACGUGCAUGGCCAUGACGGAGAGGUAGGGGAUUUCAGGAAGAAGGUGUGGAGCAUGACGGGGGGGCCCUACUGCCGCCCCAAGCACUAGCGCCGUAAUACGUCGAUCGCCAUGGCCGGGAUCUUCCUCAUCUGCGUCCCCAUCACCAUGAAAUCUGCCGAGCUCGAGGUGUUUUUGCUCUAGUUUUUCUGUAGUUUUUGGUAUCAUCAGUGGGUUGUGGGGAUCAGGAUCGGGGUGGGUAAUCAAGGGGUUCGUUUGUAGUGUAUGAGUGGAAGAACGAUGAGAUUGAGUGGAUUUUUGAGUCAUUUUUUUGCAGAUUCGAUGUGAUUUAGCGUUUAAGGUUACGAGAAAAUGUAGAGAAAUAGGAGUAUUUAACCCUUUUUUUCUUCUAAUUAUUGAAAUAAUCACUAAUUCUCGUUCUCUCUCUCUCUCUCUCUCUCUCUCUCUCUCUCUCACGUAACCACACCGCACAGGCGCAGUGGGACACACCCUCGCAGGCCGCAGGCGGCAGCACCGUCGUUCGCAAACCCCCGGCAGCGGCAGUGAACUUCGACAACGGCGCUAACGAGCCGAGCUAACGAGCCGAACACGAGCUAGCUCGAUUAAGUUGCGAGCUGAUCACGAGCCGGAGUUCUCGAGCUCGUCACGAGCUCGAGCCAAACAUGAGCCGACCUUGAGACGUUCGAGUCGAGCUCGAGCUGGCUCCAGCUCGCUCGAGCUCGGCUCAUUUACAGCCCUACUUAUGACUAUAUAUGUAUCUUCUUUUGUCCUUGAAGAUGCAAUUGUAUAAAGAGAGUUAAAGUUGAAUGUAAGAAAUCUAUUUUGGUGAUUAUGUGAUGUAAAUGUACAAAUGUGAAAGCAAUGUAUGUGAUCAAAAGUCACCAUUAUACUUGUAUGGUUGUAUAGUUUAGAAUUCUUUCACUUUGGCUACUGCUUGUCCUCGUGCAAGCUAUUAUGUGUGUUUCCGCUUGUGCGUUCUCUUUGCUUGAAUUGUACAUGUGUUGAGCCUUGGGCGGACAGGGGAGGUGUUGUCCGUUCAGCAUUUGUUUGAUGUGCCCGAACCGACCAAAUAGGCCGCGCUUUGGUUGGCUCGGGGCGUGACAGAUAUAGUGGUAUCAGAGCCUAAAAGUGGAAGAAUAGGAAUGGACCUAGAGACCCUUAGGAUUGGAAAACUUUAAGGAUCUAGGAAACGUGAGUGACGUGGAAUCAAAGUUAGCGAAAGCAUGUGAUUGGGUUAAUGUUAGUAGGUCUCUAAUGUGGUUAGGGGCUAAAUUUAAGUUGAUGUUCGUUCUCUACUCCUUGUAUUGUGUUGGGCGGCCGACAACAUUAUACUUUGGAAUGAGGAAGAAUACGAUUGUUUGCUUUCGCCGGAUUGGGUAUGUAUGAGUUAUGUAAGCAUGUAGCUGAUGAAAAUUGCUACAUUUCGGGAAGUAAUGGCUCGUGGUGGACCUCGAACAAGGUCGAUACCGGAGGAGCCGAAUGCAACACCCGAGCGAUCCGGAGCAAGUGGCGACGGAGAGCUUUGGGAGCAAAUGUCCGCACUAAUUGGAGUAGUGCGACAACAAGUGGAAUCCGUUUAGCACCAGGGGGAGCAGAUUCAAAGGCUUCAAGAAGCCUUAGAGCGACAGCAGGCGGCAGCGGCUCAAGCGGGCUCCGAGCACCCUGUACCCCCUGCGGUGGUGCCGAGUGCGGCUGAUGAUGUCGUGGCGGCGGCGGUGCCAGUCACGGUGGUGACGGCUGGUUCAGAAACCUCAAAUCCCGAUAGUGCGGCGGCGGAGGCGAAGCGGGAGCGCGCGUUGGCAGUUCUCGUCACGUUUAUGAAGUUCAACCCACCUGUUUUUGAGGGGGAUAAGGUGGAGCCAUGGAUGGUGGAGUCGUGGAUUGACUCAAUCGAGAUGCUCUUCGAGGACAUUUAUGCCUUGGAGAAGGAUAAGGUGAACCUCGCUACUCAUUGCUUGGGAAAGGCGGCAAAGGUAUGGUGGAAGCGAGUAAAACGAGAUCAGUCUUCCAAUCUUCCACCUAUGCUUUGGGAGGAGUUCCGAAGGCUAAUAUUCGCGAACUACUUUCCCGAUACGGAAAAGCGGAAGUUGCAAUAGAAAUUCCGCAAGCUAAGGCAGGGUGAUCGAUUGGUGGGGGAAUCUGAGCAAGAGUUCUCUCACAUCAUCGAUUAUGUCCCUGAUGUGGUUCGUAAUGAUCGGGACCGGGUUGAUUGGUUCUUGUGAAGGCUUCAGCCGAGGAUCUAUGAGAAGGUGCAAAUCCUUAAACUCACGACCAUCACGGAGGUCCUGGAUAGAGCACUUUGGGCGGAGCACGGUAGUGCAUAUGCACGUGGAGAGCGCGAGUCGAUGGAUAAGGAAAGGGACAAAGGAAAGAAACGAGUGGCGGGUGGUGCCGAAGGCCGGCCAAAUGCUAAGAAACCCCCUCGGUAUCCCCGACGGCAGUCGAGGAGUUGGCGGCCUAUGCGGUGUGUUAUUUGCGGCGGUGAACACCGACCGUCGACUUGUCCGCAAGGCGGGGGGAAGUGUUUCAAGUGUGGUCAACCGGGACAUCUUAUCCGGGAGUGCCCGAGUUGGACAUCGUCGGCACCGACGGCAGCAUCAGUUCUGUCUUCCCCGAGGCAGCUUGCAGGGUUGCCACCAGCUAUGUCGGCUGGAUGCGUAUCAUCGCCACGUCAGCCGGAGGGAUCUAGAGUGCCAAGUGGAUGGGUUUUCGCCACUCAAGGAGCAGCUUGCAGUCCCUGAUGACGUUGUAGCAGGUAUUAUCUUGAUCAGAUGCACUAGAGCUAGAGCAUUAUUCGACACCGGUGCAUCUCAUUCAUUCAUUGGUGCACCAUUUGCGAAAAAUCAUGGUAUAGAGGUGUCUCAUUACGAGGAUUAUUGGUGGGUGAAUGCUCCAGAGCAUUCGUUCAGUGUUCAUGACGAGUGCUUGGCUUGUCCAAUUCAGAUAGGUGAUUGGAUUAUGCCGAUAGAUCUACUAGUGUUAGAUCGAAUGUGGGGCUUCGAUGUGAUCUUGGGGAUCAACUGGCUCUCCAAGUACUACGCGGUUACAGAUUGUGAAAAUAAGGUAAUCACUUUUCGUGAACCUAACCAAGAAGAGUUAGUGUAUCGGGCCUGUAAAAGCUCGCGCUUCGCGGCGACCGUGUCGGCGGCGAGGGCGAGAAAGAUGAUUAAAGGUAUAUGUGUGGCCUAUUUGGCGACCAUGGUAGAGACUCGAAGGGAGCACCCGGAACUUGGGAACAUUCGGGUAGUAUGUGAAUUUCCGGAUGCAUUUCCGACGGAGUUUCCGGGAUUGCCACUGGACCGGCAGGUCGAAUUCGUCAUUAAUUUGAUUCCCGGGGUGGCGCCAAUCUCGAAGGCUCCGUAUAGAAUGGCACCGACAGAGUUAGUAGAGUUGAAAGCUCAGUUGCAAGACUUGCUUGAUAAAGGCUUCGUGAGGCCGAGCAUGUCACUGUGGGGAGCUCCGGUGCUAUUUGUGAAAAAGAAGGAUGGUACACUUUUACUCUGCGUAGAUUAUCGCGAGUUGAACAAGGUGACGAUUAAGAACAAGUACCUGUUGCCGAGGAUUGAUGAUUUAUUCGAUCAAUUGCAAGGGUUGCGGGUGUAUUCGAAGAUUGAUCUUCAGUCGGGAUAUCAUCAGUUGAAGAUCCGGCCGAAGGAUGUGCACAAAACGGCGUAUCGUACGCGGUAUGGCCAUUAUGAGUUCACGGUAAUGCCGUUUGGGCUUACUAAUGCCCCGGCAACGUUUAUGAACUUGAUGAAUCGAGUCUUUCAACCAUUGUUGGACUAGUGCGUCGUGGUAUUCAUAGACGACAUGUUGGUGUAUUCGAAAAGUGAGGAGGAACACGAGGAGCAUUUGAGAACCGUGUUGUAAAUGCUCCGAAAAAAGAAGCUUUAUGCUAAGCUCAAAAAGUGCGAUUUUUGGCUAUCGGAGGUUACCUUCCUAAGCUAUGUGAUAUCCGGAGGCGGGGUCUCGGUAGACCCGAAGAAAGUUGAGGCAAUUAGGGAUUGGCCUCGCCUUACCAGUGUAACGGAAGUCCGCAGUUUUCUUGAACUCGCGGGGUACUAUCGGCCGUUCGUGGAGGGGUUCGCUAAGAUAACUACUCCACUAACGCGCCUCACGCAUAAAGGAGUGAGAUAUGUUUGGAGCGACGAUUGCGAUCGGAGCUUCGAGGAGUUAAAGGAAAGGUUGACAUCGACCUCGGUGCUUGCUUUGCCAACUCCGAGGGAGACCUUUGUGGUGUACAGUGAUGCUUCAUACAGUGGUCUCGGGUGUGUUUUGAUGCAGAAUGGCCGGGUGAUAGCUUACGCUUCAUGCCAAUUGAAGAGUUACAAAAAGAACUACCCGAUUCACGAUCUUGAGUUAGCCGCGGUGAUUUUCGCGCUAAAGUUAUGGAGGCAUUACUUGUAUGGUGAGCAUUGUGAGAUUUACACCGACUAUAAAAGUCUCAAGUACUUGUUCACCCAAAAGGAGUUGAAUAUGCGACAGCGGUGGUGGUUAGAGUUAUUAAAGGACUAUGAUAUCACUAUACUAUACCACCCGGAAAAAGCCAAUGUCGUGGCCGAUGCACUAAGUAGAAAAUUGGUGGAAAACUUAGCUGCGGCGAUCACGCCUCAACCGUUGUUGCAAAAAGAGAUGCAACGGUUAGGUUUGGAAGUAGUAGCUCCGGGAGUGCCGGCUACACUUGCCACAUUGGUUGUGCAACCGACCUUGUUGGAGAGGAUAAAAGAGCUACAAGCUUCCAAUGAGUAUCACCAAAAGGUACGCGGUGAAGUUGAUGGCGGUAGCACCGAUGAUUUUGGCAUUGGGACCGACGGCGUACUUCUAUUUCGGAGUCGUUUGUGUGUGCCUAAGAACGAGGACAUUUGAAGGGCGAUCAUGCAAGAAGCGCAUCAAUCUCUCUAUAGUAUACUGUAAGGAAGUGAAUUCUCGAAACUCGAGGAUUAGACUUCGACUAGAAUCGACUAUUCGUCGAGUGCGUAGGCUUCGGAAAGUCCGAAGGUGUUUAUAAUGCAUAAAGUGCAUUAAGGAAGGGUCCGCGAGAAACACCAGUGCAAAAAAUCUGCACUGGAGCAGAAUUUCUCUCGGGGACCGGUCCCUGGCAGGGAGGGACCGGUUCCNACCUUUGAGGAUUUUGGCUCGCGAAGUGAAGAAGCUUCGAAAUCGUGAUAUUCCGUAUGUAAAGGUCCUUUGGAGCAACCACGAUGAGCGGGAGGCUACGUGGGAGUUGAAGAGCAUGCUGCAGGAGCGCUAUCCCCAUCUUUUUCAGAUGGAGUCUUGAGCUACUUUGUUUUAUUUAGUUUCGCGGACGAAACUCCUUUUUAGGAGGGGUGAAUAUAACACACUAAACUUUCGCAAAUUGCACGGUUCGAGUGUUUAAUCUGUGUUCUGAGUUUUUUCAGGUAUUCUGGAGGGUCGUAGAUAGUGUUCCGACCUAUGGCUCACAUCCUGAGAAUCAAGGUUUAAAACUUAGCACUAAAAUCUCUAUAGUGAAGAUUUUAGGCUCCUCUCGAGUUCGGUUCUGCAAAGCAGAGUACCGUACCGCAUUGACCUAGUACCGGAACUAGAGGUUGUACCGGUACAACAUCGGGCUGAUACCGAUACCCAGUGCAUUUGCUCGCCAACCCGAGGCUCGGGUUUGCGCAGUCUGUAGCUUGGUAUUGGUACUCUUUCCCGCGUACCGGUACGCAGUGCAAUUCACAGACUGCUUAUUUUUUUUGGGCGUUUUUGUUAUUGUAGCAAUAUUACAAAUACCCCACGCCCCUUUGCUGGUCUCCUGAGCUUGGAAACACAGGAGAGAAGGUAGGGAAGCCCUCCACUUCCUCUCUUUGGUUUUCUUUGAUUUUGUUGGAAUUUUUGAGGAUUAAUCACCUCUUUUGCUUCCUUUUUGCUUCUUGGUGACUUUCCACCAUGGGGAGAAGGAUUGGAGCUUGGAUUGGAGCUUGUUGGAGGAGAGAUCUUCAACCCUAACUCAUUGCAAGCCUAGUUUGAAACUUCUAAAGAGAUUAGUAAUGUUUUGGUGGAUUUUUCUUGAUGAAAAUCUAGAAAUGGGAAAACUAGGGUUUAUUUGGGAAUUUUUGAUUUAGGGCUUUUGGAGCUCAAUUGAUUGGUUUACAACUUUCAUUUAGGUUGGAUUAGAAGGGCUCUAACUUCCAUUUGGAAUUUGAGAGGGUUUUUCUACAUUUUAGGUGAGUUUUGACCCUUUUCUUGGGUUGGUUAAAGAUGAACACUAUAGGUGUUCGUUUGUUUCGUCUAACCCUUUUAGAAUUUUCUUUAGGGAGCUAGGAGACUUAUGGGCACCUUCGUUCGUGCAAACGAAAGAGUUACAAGGAGCUCUUGGUGGGUUUGACCUCACCGAAAUGGGUGAACUCCCCCUAUACUUUAUUUUUUGUUGUAAAAUAAAAAUUCAUACAUAUUCAUGCUAGAUAGGGCAUAAAUAAAUUUUAGAAUGAUUAAAAUGCAUAUGUUAUGUAUCAUGAGAUUUCGUCUCUAUGUAGUAGAGAAAUAUGUGCAAAGUAUAUGGUAUUCUCAUGAUGUGUUGGAAUCAUGUUAUAUGUAGAUGAAUGACAUGCAAUUACUUGCUCAUGAACCAUGGACAUAUGCUAAAUGUAGUAGAAACGUAAUGUCAUUAAGUGACAUUGAACUUGGAGUAUGUAUAGACUUAGUAAGCUACAAUGUCAUAAAGGGAUAUUGAGCUUGGAAUAUGUUUGGGCUUGGUAAACUAUAAUGUCAUAAAGUGGCAUUAGAUUAAUAAAUGAUGGAACCGUUACAUUGUGACAUAGAGCUAGACCUUUGGGGUUGCUAGUAUUAUACCAUGUUGAGACAUGAUGAUCGAGUACUUGAGAUGAUGAUCACGUGUCACGCCCCGAGACCGCUGCCAAUUUUGUCCGGUUCAGGCGCGUCGAACAGACGCCGAACGGACAGCACCUCCCCUGUCCGUCCAAGGCCAAGCAACAUGAUCGAGUACAAGAAUUUGUCCAGGAAAUGAAAUUCUAUACAUACACAAUCAACGAAGGGCACAACAAGUGCCAACAACUAAGAGCAAGAGUCACAAGUGCAUACAAGUGAACAAAAGAGAGAUGUACCAGCUAUUACAUCACAUUGCAUUCAUUUACCUUAAUUUACAUUUACAUCUCUUCCAGAAUGGAUACAUGUUUAUUAGAUCAUCACCAAAAUACAUCAAUAGCUCUCCAAUCCUCACCUACAUAAGUCUCUCAAUACAUAGGAUAAUGCUAAUGCAAAAUGGAAAGCUACUAUGUACUACUGCUCGGGCGCGAUGCCCUUGCCGCGGUCCUCGCCCGGCGUACUCGUACUAGGCCCUGCGACAAAGUGGGGUGAAAACUAUUGUCCAUAAAAUGUCUUAAUGGCCUAUCACCAUGUCAUCAUGUCACGACCCGCGACCACCCGCCUAUUUGGCCGAGGUCGCGGCGCCGCCGACAUCGCCGAAUGGACAGGGUUUCCCCUGUACUGCGGACAGAGUCUCCCCUGUACAUUCAAGGCAACGCAAUCCAUACAAUACGAAGGUUCCAAUCAGGAACUGAUAUCAAUCAAGAUUNUUCGCUCCGAUUUCAGCACAGGUCUUUCCCAAUCAAUAUUUCACUUCUCUAAACCCAAUAAAAUAGUAUCUCAUACUAUUUUUUAUUUAUUUUCACUUUUAUAUUUAAAAUCCGGUAUGUUACAUUCCACCGCAACCGCACCGGAACCAUUUAAAUGUACACCGUGACUUCAUGAUUUGCGAUGU
rnacentral:lncRNA from 1 species